rnacentral:rRNA from 1 species
GACGAAGGUGGCAAGCGUUGUUCGGAAUCACUGGGCAUAAAGAGCACGUAGGCGGCUAAGUAAGUCGGAUGUGAAAUACCUCGGCUCAACCGAGGAACUGCGUCCGAUACUGCUUGGCUUGAGGUCCGGAGGGGAGAGUGGAAUUCCCGGUGGAGCGGUGAAAUGCGUAGAGAUCGGGAAGAACGCCGGCGGCGAAAGCGACUCUCUGGUCGGAAUCUGACGCUGAGGUGCGAAAGCUAGGGGAGCAAACGGGAUUAGAUACCCCGGUAGUCCUAGCCAUAAACGAUGGACGCUAGGUAGUGGUCGUUCCUAUGCGAUCACUGCUGGAGCAAAUGUCUUAAGCGUCCCGCCUGGGAAGUACGGUCGCAAGACUAAA